rnacentral:rRNA from 1 species
CAGUAGCCGCGGUAAAACGGAGGGUGCAAGCGUUAAUCGGAAUUACUGGGCGUAAAGGGUGCGUAGGUGGUUGAAUAAGUUAGCUGUGAAAUCCCUGGGCUUAACCUAGGGCGGUCAGCUAAGACUGUUGAACUCGAGUAUAGGAGAGGGUAGUGGAAUUUCCGGUGUAGCGGUGAAAUGCGUAGAGAUCGGAAGGAACACCAGUGGCGAAGGCGGCUACCUGGCCUAAUACUGACACUGAGGCACGAAAGCGUGGGGAGCAAACAGGAUUAGAUACCCCGGUAGUCCCUGUCUCUUAUAC